ACCAGAGUCCCGCGAGGUCAAGGCCUCGGAGAGCGUGUCUUGUAAAUUCAGUAACCCACUGGCGGUGUAAAAACGGUCGUGGCCGGUAUCCGAAUUCCGGGCCGCGUUGCUGUCAGUAAUGAAAAACCAAUUUGUGGCAGGGUUGCCUCCAAGGCUCCCCUUUCACAUUUAGCAAGUGGUUACUUCUUAU
ncrna:unclassified sequences RT-7 RNA